rnacentral:tRNA from 1 species
GGGGGAUUAGCUCAGCUGGCUAGAGCGCCUGCCUUGCACGCAGGAGGUCAUCGGUUCGACUCCGAUAUUCUCCACAAAGGUUUUUUAAACCGCACGUUCAUUGACAUAUUGAAUUAUUUAAGAUACAUAAAAAUAAAAGGUAUA